GCGCGAAAACUUUACAAUGCUGGCAACAGCGAUAAGGGAACCUCGAGUGCCAGGUUACAAAUCUGGCUGUCGAGAUGCCUAAAAAGCAUUUCAUAGCAAGGGCCGGGCAAGACCGGUGCCAGCCGCCGCGGUAACACCGGCGGCUCGAGUGGUAACCGUUAUUAUUGGGUCUAAAGGGUCUGUAGCCGGCCGGAUAAGUCUCUUGGGAAAUCUGGCAGCUCAACUGUCAGGCUUUCAGGAGAUACUGUCUGGCUCGAGGCCGGGAGAGGUGAGAGGUACUUCGGGGGUAGGGGUGAAAUCUUGUAAUCCUUGAAGGACAACCAGUGGCGAAGGCGUCUCACCAGAACGGACUUGACGGCAAGGGACGAAAG
rnacentral:rRNA from 1 species